rnacentral:rRNA from 1 species
GGGUUGUGAGGUUAAGCGACUAAGCGUACACGGUGGAUGCCCUGGCAGUCAGAGGCGAUGAAGGACGUGCUAAUCUGCGAAAAGCGUCGGUAAGGUGAUAUGAACCGUUAUAACCGGCGAUGUCCGAAUGGGGAAACCCAGUGCAAUUCGUUGCACUAUCGUUAACUGAAUACAUAGGUUAACGAGGCGAACCGGGGGAACUGAAACAUCUAAGUACCCCGAGGAAAAGAAAUCAACCGAGAUUCCCCCAGUAGCGGCGAGCGAACGGGGAGCAGCCCAGAGUCUGAAUCAGCUUGUGUGUUAGUGGAACGGUCUGGAAAGUCCGACGGUACAGGGUGAUAGUCCCGUACACCAAAAUGCACAGGCUGUGAACUCGAAGAGUAGGGCGGGACACGUGGUAUCCUGUCUGAAUAUGGGGGGACCAUCCUCCAAGGCUAAAUACUCCUGACUGACCGAUAGUGAACCAGUACCGUGAGGGAAAGGCGAAAAGAACCCCGGCGAGGGGAGUGAAAAAGAACCUGAAACCGUGUACGUACAAGCAGUGGGAGCACCUUUAUGGUGUGACUGCGUACCUUUUGUAUAAUGGGUCAGCGACUUAUAUUCUGUAGCAAGGUUAACCGUAUAGGGGAGCCGCAGGGAAACCGAGUCUUAACUGGGCGUUAAGUUGCAGGGUAUAGACCCGAAACCCGGUGAUCUCAGCCAUGGGCAGGUUGAAGGUUGGGUAACACUAACUGGAGGACCGAACCGACUAAUGUUGAAAAAUUAGCGGAUGACUUGUGGCUGGGGGUGAAAGGCCAAUCAAACCGGGAGAUAGCUGGUUCUCCCCGAAAGCUAUUUAGGUAGCGCCUCGUGAACUCAUCUUCGGGGGUAGAGCACUGUUUCGGCUAGGGGGUCAUCCCGACUUACCAACCCGAUGCAAACUACGAAUACCGAAGAAUGUUAUCACGGGAGACACACGGCGGGUGCUAACGUCCGUCGUGAAGAGGGAAACAACCCAGACCGCCAGCUAAGGUCCCAAAGUCAUGGUUAAGUGGGAAACGAUGUGGGAAGGCACAGACAGCCGGGAUGUUGGCUUAGAAGCAGCCAUCAUUUAAAGAAAGCGUAAUAGCUCACUGGUCGAGUCGGCCUGCGCGGAAGAUGUAACGGGGCUAAACCAUGCACCGAAGCUGCGGCAGCGACACUAUGUGUUGUUGGGUAGGGGAGCGUUCUGUAAGCCUGCGAAGGUGUGCUGUGAGGCAUGCUGGAGGUAUCAGAAGUGCGAAUGCUGACAUAAGUAACGAUAAAGCGGGUGAAAAGCCCGCUCGCCGGAAGACCAAGGGUUCCUGUCCAACGUUAAUCGGGGCAGGGUGAGUCGACCCUAAGGCGAGGCCGAAAGGCGUAGUCGAUGGGAAACAGGUUAAUAUUCCUGUACUUGGUGUUACUGCGAAGGGGGACGGAGAAGGCUAUGUUAGCCGGGCGACGGUUGUCCCGGUUUAAGCAUGUAGGCUGGUUAUCCAGGCAAAUCCGGAUAAUCAAGGCUGAGGUGUGAUGACGAGGCACUACGGUGCUGAAGUAACAAAUGCCCCUGCUUCCGGGAAAAGCCUCUAAGCAUCAGGUAACAUUAAAUCGUACCCCAAACCGACACAGGUGGUCAGGUAGAGAAUACCAAGGCGCUUGAGAGAACUCGGGUGAAGGAACUAGGCAAAAUGGUGCCGUAACUUCGGGAGAAGGCACGCUGGUGUGUAGGUGAAGUCCCUGCGGAUGGAGCUGAGACCAGUCGAAGAUACCAGCUGGCUGCAACUGUUUAUUAAAAACACAGCACUGUGCAAACACGAAAGUGGACGUAUACGGUGUGACGCCUGCCCGGUGCCGGAAGGUUAAUUGAUGGGGUUAUCCGUAAGGAGAAGCUCUUGAUCGAAGCCCCGGUAAACGGCGGCCGUAACUAUAACGGUCCUAAGGUAGCGAAAUUCCUUGUCGGGUAAGUUCCGACCUGCACGAAUGGCGUAAUGAUGGCCAGGCUGUCUCCACCCGAGACUCAGUGAAAUUGAACUCGCUGUGAAGAUGCAGUGUACCCGCGGCAAGACGGAAAGACCCCGUGAACCUUUACUAUAGCUUGACACUGAACAUUGAGCCUUGAUGUGUAGGAUAGGUGGGAGGCUUUGAAGCGUGGACGCCAGUCUGCGUGGAGCCAACUUGAAAUACCACCCUUUAAUGUUUGAUGUUCUAACGUUGGCCCCUGACCGGGGUUGCGGACAGUGUCUGGUGGGUAGUUUGACUGGGGCGGUCUCCUCCCAAAGCGUAACGGAGGAGCACGAAGGUUAGCUAAUCCUGGUCGGACAUCAGGAGGUUAGUGCAAUGGCAUAAGCUAGCUUGACUGCGAGCGUGACGGCGCGAGCAGGUGCGAAAGCAGGUCAUAGUGAUCCGGUGGUUCUGAAUGGAAGGGCCAUCGCUCAACGGAUAAAAGGUACUCCGGGGAUAACAGGCUGAUACCGCCCAAGAGUUCAUAUCGACGGCGGUGUUUGGCACCUCGAUGUCGGCUCAUCACAUCCUGGGGCUGAAGUAGGUCCCAAGGGUAUGGCUGUUCGCCAUUUAAAGUGGUACGCGAGCUGGGUUUAGAACGUCGUGAGACAGUUCGGUCCCUAUCUGCCGUGGGCGCUGGAGAAUUGAGGGGGGCUGCUCCUAGUACGAGAGGACCGGAGUGGACGCAUCACUGGUGUUCGGGUUGUCAUGCCAAUGGCACUGCCCGGUAGCUAAAUGCGGAAGAGAUAAGUGCUGAAAGCAUCUAAGCACGAAACUUGCCCCGAGAUGAGUUCUCCCUGAGACUUUAAGUCUCCUGAAGGAACGUUGAAGACGAUGACGUUGAUAGGCCGGGUGUGUAAGCGCAGCGAUGCGUUGAGCUAACCGGUACUAAUGAACCGUGAGGCUUAACCUUACAACGCCGAAG